CACUCCUUUUUUAUUUAAUAAAAAAACUUUGUUGCCCCAAAAGCCAAGGCUUAUCCUGCAGCUGGGCUCACAUUGCAUGAUUUUACAAAUACUGAUUUUUAAGAGUAACUGAGAUGUUUUCCAAAUAUAUUUACAAAUUUGAACACAAAUAAACAAAUUUAAGACAUAAACCACACAAAGAUAAACGUUUCCAAAAUAAAUCGUCCAACUCUACUAAACGGCAUCAAACAAUUCAAUUUCGCUGACCCUUUCAAUAUACAUUUAAGUUUUUU